rnacentral:rRNA from 1 species
AGAAUGAACGCUGGCGGCGUGGUUAAGACAUGCAAGUCGAACGGUUUUUCAAAUGUAGCAAUACAUUUGAAAGACAGUGGCGAACGGGUGCGUAACACGUGAACAAUCUACCUUCAAAUGGGGAAUAGCUCGCCGAAAGGCGAAUUAAUACCGCAUAUGGUUGUAUCUCGCAUGAGAGACAUACCAAAGUCAGGGACCGCAAGGCCUGACGUUAGAAGAGGAGUUCGCGGCCUAUCAGCUAGUUGGCGAGGUACGGCUCACCAGGGCUAAGACGGGUAGCUGGUCUGAGAGGAUGAUCGAGCCACACUGGAACUGACGACACGGUCCAGACACCGUAGGGUGGCAGUCAGUUUCGAAUCAUUACACAAUGGACGAAAGCCUGAGUGGUAGCGACGCCGCGUGGAGGAGUGGAAGGUCGUUCGGAUUACGUAAACCGUUCGUAGU